ACCGAGCUUACGGGCAGCCGGUGAGCGUCACCCGGGACGCGGAUUCUAUGCGCACCAAGCAAGGUACAUUGGAAAUAAGCUUCUAUAUAUAAAACCUAGACUGGAAUAUUGGCAAGCAGAUUCUAGAGAGAGCAUCAACUGCGCAGCUGAAGGAUGGAGAGUUGAGAAAAGGUGAAUUAAGGAGGUGGUUGACAACCUAUUAACAAUUAACUGCACAGCAUGAUGGAAAGCACUGAAAAAGAAUUUUGUCUUUAGGGAUGG